CGGACGGGUGAGUAACACGUGGAUAACCUACCUAUAAGACUGGGAUAACUUCGGGAAACCGUAGCUAAUACCGGAUAAUAUAUUGAACCGCAUGGUUCAAUAGUGAAAGACGGUUUUGCUGUCACUUAUAGAUGGAUCCGCGCCGCAUUAGCUAGUUGGUAAGGUAACGGCUUACCAAGGCAACGAUGCGUAGCCGACCUGAGAGGGUGAUCGGCCACACUGGAACUGAGACACGGUCCAGACUCCUACGGGAGGCAGCAGCG
rnacentral:rRNA from 1 species